CGAUAGCGUAUAUUUAAGUUGUUGCAGUUAAAACGCUCGUAGUCGGAUUUUGGCUGAGAACGAUCGGUCCGCCGUUAGGUGUGCACUGAUUGGUCUCAGCUUCCUGGUGAGGAGGUGUGCUUCACGGCCACUUAGUCACCGUGGUUACUUUGAAAAAAUUAGAGUGUUCAAAGCGGGCUUACGCUUGAAUAUAUUAGCAUGGAAUAACACCAUAGGACUCCUGUCCUAUUUCGUUGGUCUCGGGACGGGAGUAAUGAUUAAGAGGAACAGUUGGGGGCAUUCGUAUUUCAUUGUCAGAGGUGAAAUUCUUGGAUUUAUGAAAGACGAACUUCUGCGAAAGCAUUUGCCAAGGAUGUUUUCAUUGA
rnacentral:rRNA from 1 species